AAUUGUGAGCACUGGUGGACUUGACAAGAUGUGUGGCUCCAAUUUUCAAUUCAAUUUUCAAUUUCAAUAGUUGGAUCAAAUCCAGGAAAUGUAGAAAUGCUAUUUUCCACGAAGCUAAGAUUGAAGACAUUGCUACCCAUGCAGUUUUAAAACAAAGUGAAAAAUAUCAGACAGUUUCACAUUUACUCUAGCUCUAGAUACGAAUGCUUUACAAUACAAGAGAGCUAGAGAUACAAAUGCAUAUGAUCAUAAAUACCUUUAAAAUUAAGUAUGAGUUUUCCAGAAAGUAUUUAGGUAUAGCAGGAAUACAAGAAAAAAAACUGAGGCCACACUAUAAUCUAUACAAAUUGGGGAGAAAAAAGACAGUGCCAUGCUGUUGUUGACUUGUAUUGAUGAGAGAGUAGCUGGCAUGUUGGAAUUCUGUGGCACAGAUUUAAACAUCUAUGAGUCCCAUAACUUUUAAAGAUAUAUGGGGUCUGCCAUAUACACUGAACCAACCAGGAUGCCCUAAGAGAGCAUCAGUAGCAAGUCCAGCCACUGCUGUGUUGUUAGCAACAGCACCCAUGCUUCGAGGGGAAUACUAAGCUGCAAAGCAGGAACUUCCAUGGGGAAGUCCUGCGAAGCAAGCAGAGUGGGGCCUCUGUGUUUUCCUGCUUUUAAUAGAGUAGCUUAUCUCUGCCCCAUUGUCCUCAGCCUGUAAUUUGUAAACUUGCUUCUGCUGAUUGUCGUUGGCUGUGAAAUCGACUCCUGCUGGAAACGGUUGACAGAACUUCUGUCUGCCUUUGACAAGCAGCUAACUCAUUAAGCGACUAGUUUCUUUUUAAUUCAAAAUCAUAAUUCAACAACGGAACAAUCUCAAAAAAUGACUUGAAAAUUCAGAAAGUAGUUUGAUUUUUUAAAAAAACCUGUAUAUAUUUUAUGUACUGGAGGAAGGAGCAGGGAAUUGUUUAUUUAAAUUUUGUUUUUCUCAGAAGGAAGUAACAGUAAAGUUGGUGUAGUUUUCAAAUCCCUCAUAGAGGAAAAAUUUAAACAAAUGGUUUAAUAUUACUCAAUAGGUCAGUCUAUUUACAUUGCUAUUAACAGUUAUCAGCAGACUUAAUACAAUUUUAAGAGAUUUAACAAACAGUUGGAAAUUAUUAAUUUGAACAAGUUUAAAAAUCAGUUUUACAGAUGUAUAACUGAUGUUAGAAUAACUAACAAAGAUUCAAUUAUAUGUGUAUAGAAUACAAUUUUCUUAAGUAUAUAAAACAUUUAUAAGAGGAAUAUAUGUAAGACAUUUUAUGCCCAUAUCAUGGGCAAUUUUCAGUUCAAUAUAACAGAUAUUUAAGAUACCUUUAGCUCAAAGUUUUAUUAAUUAGAAUAAAAAAGUUAAAAUGUGUUUAAUAUUAAAUGCCAUCAUUAAUUCAACCAAUUUAGUACAUAUUGCUGAAAACUGUUGAGUAAAUAUACUAAUUGUUUUGCAAUUCUGUACAACUUCACUGAGGUCUCUUAAACUUUUGACCUUCUUCAUUUUCUUCAAAGACUAUAAAUCAUGAUAUUUUUUAGUAAUCUUUAAAUUAUUACUUAAUCUUUUUAAAUUUAAUCCAAUAGCAAGAAUGUUUUCUGAGGCGGCAAAUGAAAAAGAACUGGGUGAUAUGCACAUUUACUGAAACAAAGAUGAAUAAACCCAGUGGCUUCCCUACACAAGAUAAUAAUCUAGUCUGCAGAAAUUGGCAACCUAAUAUAAAAUAGAGCUGAUGAUAAUUUCACCAUAGGGAUUUCAAUGUUUUGUGACUAUCUAUCUAUAAUUCUAAACAUUUUUUGACCACAGUCAAGGGGACAAUAAGACCUGGUUUUAGAAAUCGUUCUUACACAUAAUGAAAACUUGUUUGACAUCCAUUGAGGGAGCAUUUAUUAACCGCCUCUGGAUGAGGUGGAGACUGGCGCUGGGAUGUAGGUAGGACGGUGACAAGUGUGGUCCUAUCACAUGAAGGACAGUCAUACAGAGGAAGGGUGAGAUCCAGUGCCAGCAUCUCAACACCAUAUGUAACACUUCCUCCUCUGCUCCAAACCAAGAAACAACCGCCCAGCUUCCUUCUCAGGAAUCUCAUCCAUGUGUCUCAGACAGAGGGAUCAGGUGUUGCUGAGGAGGAGGGAUACACAAAAUUCAAACACAGAUGCAUUUAAUCCUUCUCAAAGCCUUUCCUAUGAGUACGUAUUGUAUGACAGCUGGUUGUCCUCAAGAGCUACUCUAGAAACCGUCUUUGGAUCUCAGAAACUACUAGGGAUCCAGCCGGCCCCAUUCUCCCCUGCUACCCUCCUGCAGACGUACAUCCUUGGAUAAGACACUUAGUUUUCCCUGGACUGAGGGUGAUGUAGUACUUACCUCAUUUCAUUAAACUGAUGACUUACUGAUACAGCAUCAAAAACAGAAGCCACUGCAGUGAACCUUUCUUAGUCCUGGGUGGAGAGCCGUGCAUUGUACGUGGGUUAGCUCCUUUUGUCCUCAGAAUAAUCCAUGAAGUAGAUAGUAGCAUCAUCCUCAUUUUAGGUUGGCAGCUGGAGUUCACAUGGCUUAAAUAAAUAAUGUGCCCCAGACUGCACCACGCGCGAGUGAGCAAGCGGAACCCCACCAGGGCGGCCUCUCUCUUGGUCUUGGAGUGUCACUGUUACUGCCAUUCAGAGGGUACAGGACAAGCCCUGGGAGCAUCCUUGGGGCACAGCAGCUGCUCAGAAGAAUCCUUGUAAUCCCGUCCUCUGAAUGAGGGAUUACUGGAGCAGUUCAGGACGGGCAGGAGGACUUCUGAACAGGUGUUGGUCUGAGCCAGGGAACCUUGGGAGCACUUUAGGAAAACCCUGGAAUAUCACUUUUUUGUUUGUUUGGUUUUUAUUUUUUUUCUUUUUUUUUUGUUUUUCUGAGACAUGGUCUUGCUAUGUUGCCAUGGCUGGAGUUCAGUGGUGCAAUCACAGCUCACUGCAACCUCAACCUCCAGGGCUCAAGUGAUCCUCCAGCCUCAGCCUCCCAAGUGGCUGGGACUAGGGGUGGAUGCCACGAUGCCUGGCUAAAUUUUAAAUUUUUUUGUAGAGACAAGGUCACACUAUGUUGCCCAGGCUGGUCUCAAACUCCUAGGCUCAAGUGAUCCUUCCACCUCAGCCUCCCAAAGUGCUGGGAUUACAGGUGUGAGCCACCACACCCGGUUACUUCAAAAUAUUUGACAGCACCUGUGCCCACGACAU
rnacentral:lncRNA from 1 species